GAAAGGGAUAAUGAAGGAGAGAAAGAAGAAGAGAAAGGAAGAGGAAGAAAAGUAAAAAGGAAGAGGAGGGGGAGGGAGGAAGAAAGAAAGGUGAAAAGAAAGAAUGGUCUGCCAGCAACAAUUUCAGUUAAUAUUUCUGUUUAUCUGGGUGCUGUCAUCUAUAUGAUCUCAGUAUUUUAAAAAUCAGCUUCCAGCCCAUAUGAUGGCUCGUGAUUGUAAUACCAGCAGUUGAAGAGGCUGAAAUGAGAGGAUUCUUGGAGCCCAGGAGUUCAAGAGCAACCUGGGCAACAUAGCAAGACCCAGUCUCUAUCAAAAGUUAAAAAAAAAAAAAAAAAACUUGGGCAUGGUGAUGUGCAACGGUUGUCCUAGCUAUUUGGGAGGCCGAGGUGGAAGGAUUGCUUGAGCUUGGGAGGUUGAGGCUGCAGUGAGCAGUGAUUGCACCACUGCACUCCAGGCUGGGCAACAAAGCAAGAACCUAUCUCAAAAAAUAUAUAUAAUAAAAAUAAAAAUCAGCUCUCAUUGAUUGCUACAUAAAUAUGCACAGGUGAUGUCCAUGCAGACAUAAAUAAUUAUAUAUCUGACAAUGGGUCCAUAUAACCUUCAAAAUGUAAAAUGCCUAUCUGUGUAAUUGACUGGUUAGUCUCCUUAAUGAUUAUAGAUUCAA
rnacentral:lncRNA from 10 species